GGGCCCGUAGCUUAGCAAGGUAGAGCGACGGGCUCUUAACCCGUAGGUCGCGGGUUCGAAUCCCGCCGGGCCCG
rnacentral:tRNA from 1 species